rnacentral:rRNA from 1 species
UGCAAGUCGAGCGAUGAGAUCCCUUCGGGGUUUGAUUAGCGGCGAACGGGUGAGGAACACGUGAGGAAUCUACCUUCUACACUGGGAUAACUCCGGGAAACCGGGGCUAAUACCGGAUAUGAAACUUGGUGGCAUCACCGAGUUUGGAAAGUUUUUCGGUAGAAGAUGACCUCGCGGCCUAUCAGCUUGUUGGUGAGGUAAUGGCUCACCAAGGCGACGACGGGUAGCCGGCCUGAGAGGGCGACCGGCCACACUGGGACUGAGACACGGCCCAGACUCCUACGGGAGGCAGCAGUGGGGAAUAUUGGGCAAUGGAGGAAACUCUGACCCAGCGACGCCGCGUGCGGGAUGAAGGCCUUCGGGUUGUAAACCGCUUUCAGCAGGGAAGAAGCGAAAGUGACGGUACCUGCAGAAGAAGCACCGGCUAACUAUGUGCCAGCAGCCGCGGUAAUACAUAGGGUGCAAGCGUUGUCCGGAAUUAUUGGGCGUAAAGAGCUCGUAGGUGGUUCGUAACGUCGGGUGUGAAAAUCUGGGGCUCAACCCCAGACCUGCAUUCGAUACGGGCGAACUAGAGUGUGGUAGGGGAGACUGGAAUUCCUGGUGUAGCGGUGGAAUGCGCAGAUAUCAGGAGGAACACCAAUGGCGA